AGUGAACGCUGGCGGUAGGCCUAACACAUGCAAGUCGAACGGCAGCACAGUAAGAGCUUGCUCUUACGGGUGGCGAGUGGCGGACGGGUGAGGAAUACAUCGGAAUCUACUUUUUCGUGGGGGAUAACGUAGGGAAACUUACGCUAAUACCGCAUACGACCUACGGGUGAAAGCAGGGGAUCUUUGGACCUUGCGCGAUUGAAUGAGCCGAUGUCGGAUUAGCUAGUUGGCGGGGUAAAGGCCCACCAAGGCGACGAUCCGUAGCUGGCCUGAGAGGAUGAUCAGCCACACUGGAACUGAGACACGGUCCAGACUCCUACGGGAGGCAGCAGUGGGGAAUAUUGGACAAUGGGCGCAAGCCUGAUCCAGCCAUACCGCGUGGGUGAAGAAGGCCUUCGGGUUGUAAAGCCCUUUUGUUGGGAAAGAAAAGCAGCAGGUUAAUACCCCGCUGUUCUGACGGUACCCAAAGAAUAAGCACCGGCUAACUUCGUG
rnacentral:rRNA from 1 species